AGAAGACAGCUCAGAGCUUAGCAACUUUGCGAAUAUGUUUGUGCCUGAUUAGCCCUGGAAGGCAGCGGCUGUGAGCAGUGCACUAAAUAUGACAAGGAAAGGUGUGGCUUCUUGCCCUUUGAUCUUGAGGACCCCCUCCCCUAAAUCUUGGAUCUAUGUUGAAGAAUGAUCCAGAUUCCAGAAUCACAGACUCAGAGAUGACUAAGGGAGGAAGAACCCAGGAUCUGCAGCACUCAGGCUGAAAAAUGCAUGAAGGCCAUUUCUCCCUAGGAAAAGACCAGAGCAGUUUCACUAAAUCCUUCUUUGUCUGGACAGUAAUUAAUAUUAUAAUCCGUAGGUAAGAUGCCCUAAACCUCAGGGCAGUGCACAGCUGGGAGACCCUCCCCCUGACCCAGCAAUAGGGCCUUGCCAAGUCUCUGUCUCCCCCCACCACUGCCUUAUAAACAAGAUCAGGUUACAACAUCCUCCAAUAUCGGGCUCAUCCGCAUGGCUCGGGUCAGUUUUUACACACGGGCUACAAAAAGGGCAAAAAAGGCAGAAACACUGAACCUGCAGAUUUUGUGAUCUUCUAGAUCAUAAGGGGAUUACUGUAGAACUGGAAACAAUAUUUUUACUAAUAUGUUUAAUUCUCUUUCUAUACAUGACAGCAUUAAUGCUUGAAUAAACUAAUAAUUAUCAUACAGAUCACACGUACAUAUUCCUCUUACAGUAAACUUAGAUCCCCGACAUACAUACAGGGUAGGGUUGCCCUAUAUGGAUCAUUUAGGUUGAUUUUAUAUUAAAAAUACCGGCAAUGCAGU